rnacentral:rRNA from 1 species
GAUGAACGCUGGCGGCGUGCCUAAAACAUGCAAGUCGAGCGGUAAGGCCUCUUCGGAGGUACACGAGCGGCGGACGGGUGAGUAACACGUGGGAAUCUACCCCAAACUGAGGGAUAAGCACCGGAAACGGUGUCUAAUACCGCAUAUGGUCUUCGGAUUAAAGCUUCGGCGGUUUGGGAAGAGCCCGCGUAAGAUUAGCUAGUUGGUGAGGUAAAGGCUUACCAAGGCGACGAUCUUUAGCUGGUUUGAGAGGAUGAUCAGCCACACUGGAACUGAGACACGGUCCAGACUCCUACGGGAGGCAGCAGUUAGGAAUUUUCCACAAUGGGCGAAAGCCUGAUGGAGCAACGCCGCGUGCAGGAUGAAGGUUUUCGGAUUGUAAACUGCUUUUAUGUGCGAAGAAUAUGACGGUAACACAUGAAUAAGGACCGGCUAACUCCGUGCCAGCCGCCGCGGUAA